AGUACCGUGAGGNAAAGUUGAAAAGAACUUUNNNGAGAGAGUUCAAGAGUACGUGAAACCGUUCAGGGGUAAACCUAAGAAACCCAAAAGAUCGAACGGGGAGAUUCAUCGUCAGCGGACGCCGGCUUCGCGUCCGGUCGGCGAUGUNCCCGCGGGGGCCCUCGCGGCUCUCAGCGCGGGCACGCUGCCGUGCGCCGAUGUCCGGCUUCGCCGUCGUGCACUUCUCCCCUGGUAGAACGUCGCGACCCGCUGGGUGUCGGUCUACGGCCCGGGGUGCGGUGUCGGCCGGCUGCCCGGCGGUACGCGCAAGGUAUCAGGCCGCACACACAUUUGAACGGUGCGUCGAGGCCGUCGCAAGCGCGCGCCACGGUACACGGAGGUACGGACCUAGCGCCGUCACCGGUCCUGGCCCGCUGUUGGUCGUACGGUUAACCUUCGACAGGCCUACGAAACGUYCCAGCGUUGGGGGUCGCGGGGNCNCGUCUCCNGCNCUCUCUCGC
rnacentral:rRNA from 1 species